GAUGAACGCUAGCUACAGGCUUAACACAUGCAAGUCGAGGGGCAGCAUUUUAGUUUGCUUGCAAACUAAAGAUGGCGACCGGCGCACGGGUGAGUAACACGUAUCCAACCUGCCGAUAACUCGGGGAUAGCCUUUCGAAAGAAAGAUUAAUAUCCGAUAGUAUAUUAAAACCGCAUGGUUUUACUAUUAAAGAAUUUCGGUUAUCGAUGGGGAUGCGUUCCAUUAGUUUGUUGGCGGGGUAACGGCCCACCAAGACUACGAUGGAUAGGGGUUCUGAGAGGAAGGUCCCCCACAUUGGAACUGAGACACGGUCCAAACUCCUACGGGAGGCAGCAGUGAGGAAUAUUGGUCAAUGGACGAGAGUCUGAACCAGCCAAGUAGCGUGAAGGAUGACUGCCCUAUGGGUUGUAAACUUCUUUUAUAUGGGAAUAAAGUAUUCCACGUGUGGGAUUUUGUAUGUAC
rnacentral:rRNA from 1 species